rnacentral:rRNA from 1 species
AUUGAACGCUGGCGGCAGGCUUAACACAUGCAAGUCGAGCGGGGAAAGGUAGCUUGCUACCUGACCUAGCGGCGGACGGGUGAGUAAUGCUUAGGAAUCUGCCUAUUAGUGGGGGACAACAUCUCGAGAGGGAUGCUAAUACCGCAUACGUCCUACGGGAGAAAGCAGGGGACCUUCGGGCCUUGCGCUACUAGAUGGGCCUAAGUCGGAUUAGCUAGUUGGUGGGGUAAAGGCCUACCAAGGCGACGAUCUGUAGCGGGUCUGAGAGGAUGAUCCGCCACACUGGGACGGAGACACGGCCCAGACUCCGACGGGAGGCAGCAGUGGGGAAUAUUGGACAAGGGGGGGAACCCUGAUCCAGCCAUGCCGCGUGUGUGAAGAAGGCCUUUGGGUUGUAAAGCACUUUAAGCGAGGAGGAGGCUACCGAGAUUAAUACUCUUGGAUAGUGGACGUUACUCGCAGAAUAAGCACCGGCUAACUCGGUG